CCUACGGGUGACAGCAGUGAGGAAUAUUGGUCAAUGGUCGGGAGACUGAACCAGCCAAGCCGCGUGAGGGAGGAAGGUACAGAGUAUCGUAAACCUCUUUUGUCAGGGAACAAAGACUAGGAAGCGUCCCCGGAUGAGUGUACCUGAAGAAAAAGCAUCGGCCAACUCCGUGCCAGCAGCCGCGGUAAUACGGAGGAUGCGAGCGUUAGCGGGGUGUAUGGGGUUUAAAGGGUGCGCGGGCUGGCUGUUAAGUCAGUGGUCAAAGCCCGGGGCUCAACCCCGGCCCGCCGUUGAAACUGGCAGUCUCGAGUUGGAGAGAAGUAUGCGGAAUGCGCGGUGUAGCGGUGAAAUGCAUAGAUAUCGCGCAGAACUCCGAUUGCGAAGGCAGCAUGCCGGCUCCACACUGACGCUGAGGCACGAAAGCGUGGGUAUCGAACAGGAUUAGAUACCCCAGUAGUC
rnacentral:rRNA from 1 species